AUCGCUUCUUGGCCUUUUGGCUAAGAUCAAGUGUAGUAUCCAUCUCCAAACUUUCUCGUCUUCCCCAACUGCAACUCUAU
ensembl:snRNA U2 U2 spliceosomal RNA